GAUGAACGCUGGCGGCGUGCCUAAUACAUGCAAGUCGAGCGAAAGGACGCGGAGCUUGCGUCUCUGAUGAUAGCGGAGGACGGGAGAGUAACACGUGGAUACCCUACCUAUAAGACUGGGAUAACUACGGGAAACCGGAGCUAAUACCGGAUAAUAUUUUGAACCGCAGGGUUCAAAAGUGAAAGACGGUCUUGCUGUAACUUCUAGAUGGAUCCGAGCUGCAUUAGCUAGUUGGUAAGGUAACGGGUUACCACGGCAAGGAUGCAUAAACGACCUGAGGGGCUGAUCGCCCACACUGGAGCGUGAACACGGACCAUACUCCUACGGUAGGCACCAGUAUGGAAUCUUCCGCAGUGGUCGAAAGCCUUACGGAGUAGCGCCGCGUGUGUGAUGAAGGUCUUCGGAUCGUAAAGCUCUGUUAUUAGUGAAGAACAUAUUUGUAAGUAACUGUGCACAUCUUGACGGUACCGAAUCAGAAAGCCACGGCUAACUACGUG
rnacentral:rRNA from 1 species